GCAUAUCAAUAAGCGGAGGAAAAGAAACCAACAGGGAUUGCCCUAGUAACGGCGAAGUGAAGCGGCAACAGCUCAAAUUUGAAAUCUGGCUCUCUUUGGGGGUCCGAGUUGUAAUUUGCAGAGGAUGCUUUGGCAUUGGCGGCGGUCUAAGUUCCUUGGAACAGGACAUCACAGAGGGUGAGAAUCCCGUACGUGGUCGCCUGCCUUUGCCGUGUAAAGCUCCUUCGACGAGUCGAGUUGUUUGGGAAUGCAGCUCUAAAUGGGAGGUAAAUUUCUUCUAAAGCUAAAUACUGGCCAGAGACCGAUAGCGCACAAGUAGAGUGAUCGAAAGAUGAAAAGUACUUUGGAAAGAGAGUCAAAAAGCACGUGAAAUUGUUGAAAGGGAAGCGCUUGCAGCCAGACUUGCCCGCAGUUGCUCACCUAGGCUUUGGCCUGGGGCACUCUUCUGCGGGCAGGCCAGCAUCAGUUUGGGCGGUUGGAUAAAGGCCUCUGUCACGUAUCUCCCUUCGGGGUGACCUUAUAGGGGAGGCGCAAUGCAACCAGCCCGGACUGAGGUCCGCGCAUCUGCUAGGAUGCUGGCGUAAUGGCUGUAAGCGGCCCGUCUUGAAACACGGACCAAGGAGUCUAACAUCUAUGCGAGUGUUUGGGUGUCAAGCCCGAGCGCGCAAUGAAAGUGAACGGAGGUGGGAACCCUUUGGGUGCACCAUCGACCGAUCCUGAUGUCUUCGGAUGGAUUUGAGUAAGAGCAUAGCUGUUGGGACCCGAAAGAUGGUGAACUAUGCUUGAAUAGGGUGAAGCCAGAGGAAACUCUGGUGGAGGCUCGCAGCGGUUCUGACGUGCAAAUCGAUCGUCAAAUUUGGGCAUAGGGGCGAAAGACUAAUCGAACCCAUCUAGUAGCUGGUUCCUGCCGA
rnacentral:rRNA from 1 species